rnacentral:tRNA from 1 species
GCUGGGGUGCCAGAGCCUGGUUAUUGGGCUCGGUUGAGGGUCGAGUUGGUCUCGCGACCUUCCUGGGUUCGAAUCCCAGCCCCGGCG